rnacentral:rRNA from 1 species
GAUGAACGCUGGCGGCGUGCCUAAUACAUGCAAGUCGAGCGAACGGACGAGAAGCUUGCUUCUCUGAUGUUAGCGGCGGACGGGUGAGUAACACGUGGAUAACCUACCUAUAAGACUGGGAUAACUUCGGGAAACCGGAGCUAAUACCGGAUAAUAUUUUGAACCGCAUGGUUCAAAAGUGAAAGACGGUCUUGCUGUCACUUAUAGAUGGAUCCGCGCUGCAUUAGCUAGUUGGUAAGGUAACGGCUUACCAAGGCAACGAUGCAUAGCCGACCUGAGAGGGUGAUCGGCCACACUGGAACUGAGACACGGUCCAGACUCCUACGGGAGGCAGCAGUAGGGAAUCUUCCGCAAUGGGCGAAAGCCUGACGGAGCAACGCCGCGUGAGUGAUGAAGGUCUUCGGAUCGUAAAACUCUGUUAUUAGGGAAGAACAUAUGUGUAAAUAACUGUGCACAUCUUGACGGUACCUAAUCAGAAAGCCACGGCUAACUACGU